CGUUAGCUCAGUUGGUUAGAGCAGAGGACUCAUAAUCCUUUGGUCGCAGGUUCAAGUCCUGCACG
rnacentral:tRNA from 1 species